AAUUGAAUACACAUGUAGAAAUGUCAUUGGAAAAUUGACGGACGGGGGUUCAAAUCCCCCCGGCUCCACCA
rnacentral:tRNA from 1 species